GUGCGAAAGCGUGGGGAGCAAACAGGAUUAGAUACCCUGGUAGUCCACGCCGUAAACGAUGUCGACUUGGAGGUUGUGCCCUUGAGGCGUGGCUUCCGGAGCUAACGCGUUAAGUCGACCGCCUGGGGAGUACGGCCGCAAGGUUAAAACUCAAAUGAAUUGACGGGGGCCCGCACAAGCGGUGGAGCAUGUGGUUUAAUUCGAUGCAACGCGAAGAACCUUACCUGGUCUUGACAUCCACGGAAGUUUUCAGAGAUGAGAAUGUGCCUUCGGGAACCGUGAGACAGGUGCUGCAUGGCUGUCGUCAGCUCGUGUUGUGAAAUGUUGGGUUAAGUCCCGCAACGAGCGCAACCCUUAUCCUUUGUUGCCAGCGGUCCGGCCGGGAACUCAAAGGAGACUGCCAGUGAUAAACUGGAGGAAGGUGGGGAUGACGUCAAGUCAUCAUGGCCCUUACGACCAGGGCUACACACGUGCUACAAUGGCGCAUACAAAGAGAAGCGACCUCGCGAGAGCAAGCGGACCUCAUAAAGUGCGUCGUAGUCCGGAUUGGAGUCUGCAACUCGACUCCAUGAAGUCGGAAUCGCUAGUAAUCGUGGAUCAGAAUGUCACGGUGAAUACGUUCCCGGGCCUUGUACACACCGCCCGUCACACCAUGGGAGUGGGUUGCAAAAGAAGUAGGUAGCUUAACCUUCGGGAGGGCGCUUACCACUUUGUGAUUCAUGACUGGGGUGAAGUCGUAACAAGGUAACCGUAGGGGAACCUGCGGUUGGAUCACCUCCUUACCUUAAAGAA
rnacentral:rRNA from 1 species